AGCUUUGCGCAGUGGCAGUAUCGUAGCCAAUGAGGUUUAUCCGAGGCGCGAUUAUUGCUAAUUAAAGUUUGCAUCGUGCUUUUCAUAAGAUGUCCUCUGGUCAUCUCGGUUGUUUAUUAACCUUCAGAUCAGAC
rnacentral:snRNA from 1 species